CGCUUUAAAACCGUUCAGAGAACAAACGGACGUUAUUAAAAUAUAUAAAAAAUAUGAAGUGGCUGUCGAUUGCAUUCGUUUUGUGUCUUCUGGCCAUUGCUAGCGCUAACCCCUAAGCCCCGGAGAUUUGACUAUCGGUAAAUGCGUGGAGUGCAACAUUCAAACCGUCUAAGCGAUGCAAUGUUGAUGAUGCUAUUGCUCUAAUUUUAAUGUGUCAGGAUGUGAAAACUAUUGAUUUAGUUUAUGCCAGACUUAAACAAUAAACAUAUGUGCAUUUAAA